AAUAUAAUUCUUAUAACAUUGGGGAUCUUGAGAUUCAAGACAACUUAGCACGCAUAUGGGUGGAUAUUGGUACCGGUGAGCCAUUACUCUUGGAUAUUUUGAUAAAUGCUUUAACACAGAUAAGCUCUGACUACAUUGGAAGUAAGCAAGUGGUGUUUGGUGGAUCUGAAUUCGAGAACUGGAGGGAGGACUUGAAGGCGGAGGAUGCAGGUUAUAGCGUCCACAAGAUUUAAGGCAACUUGUGUGAAUAUCAUGAGACUGUCAGCAUCGUGCUUGUUUUUUCCGAAUCAUUCCAGACCUUCUCAUCAAUGAUUACCGUUGCCUUAUGAGUUAUAACAUCUUACAAUCUUA